GGCUCGGUGGUGUAGUUGGUUAUCACGUCAGUCUAACAUUGAAAAAAUGAACACUGAAGGUCCCGAGUUCAAGCCUCGGCUGAGUCA
rnacentral:tRNA from 1 species